UACGUAGGGGGCUAGCGUUGUCCGGAAUCAUUGGGCGUAAAGCGCGUGUAGGCGGCCCGGUAAGUCCGCUGUAAAAGUCAAAGGCUCAACCUUUGAAUGUCAGUGGAUACUGCCGGGCUAGAGUCCGGAAGAGGCGAGUGGAACUCCUGGUGUAGCGGUGGAAUGCGCAGAUAUCAGGAAGAACACCAACGGCGAAGGCAGCUCGCUGGGACGGUACUGACGCUGAGACGCGAAAGCGUGGGGAGCGAACAGG
rnacentral:rRNA from 1 species